GGAGUGGGUAAAGAACAGGUGGAGGCAUCCCAGCACUGGUCUGCACUGGAAGAGAGGGAGCCACCACUGUGGGAGACUCCACAGAACCAACCAAACACUUUGGGAGCUGGUGUAAGGCCCUGAAAUCUGACAUUAUGGAGCGAGGAUGGGGUAGAUCAAGGGUAGCUAUGUGUGAUGGCCUGGGACUCGAGUGCAGACUCGGAACCAAAGGAGUCUCAGUCUGCACCGGAUCCUUUGCCUCAGGCAUCAUCUGAACCAAGUCUGGGGCUUGAUCCUGAAGAGUCCCAGUCUGCACAGGUUCCCCUGCAACAAAUACCAGUUGGGCCAAGUCAGGGGCCUGAGCCUGCCCUGGCUCCAGAUGCAGGGAUUACCUCGUUGCCUUCAGCUGGGCCAUCACUUACAGCUGCUCCACUACCGGUUGGGUCAGGGGAGGCUGAGGAGGCCCUGGGUCUAGUAACCCACCAAUGUCUCCCGAGCUGCAGAGACUAAGGUCUGAGAGAAGGAGAGACCUGAAUACUCGCAGGAGGAGUGCUCGCCUUCGGGCGAAACAGGGAGGUGAGUCACCGGGGAAUCAGGACUGGCCAUUACCCCGACAAAGAUAAAAGUCUGACGGACCCCACCCCAGGUUGCGGGAGCAACAUUGCUGUAUGCCAGAUCCUGCCUGAGAUUCUGUACCUGCCCCUGCCCCUGCCUGGUUUCCUGCCUCGUAUCCUGCCUUGGCCCUGUCGGACUGACUCCUAGCAGAACCUCUGGAUUCUGGACUGGUCCUGGACCGUGUUUCAAGGGUUACCCCCGGGCCCAGCACACUAUAGAUAUGCUGGAUCCAAAGCUGGUCUUUAUCCCAGAGACAGGCCUUAUUUGGGGCAUACAGCAAAAACAAACUAGCAAGCAAGCAAACUGGGGAAAAUGUCCCAAUUUUCUCCCCUGGUCAGUGGUGCUCUGUUGUGCCCUGCUGAAGAUAUGUGCAUGGAAGUCUUUCUGAACAAGUCACGCCAAUCUUAGUUGGAUCAGAGUGAAUGGAGCUAUAGUGAAAUUUGUGGCGCAUCCAGCAAUUUCCAACUAUAUUAAAAAGUCACAAUAUAAAACUGACCUCUGGCUAGUUUCAUUUAAAAGUAAUCAGAAUAAUUCAAAGGCUAGUAACAUCAACAUAAAUUAGGAAGAAACUUAAGCCAAUUUGACAGAAACAAGGAUAAAUAGCACCAGAUAAGAUCCCAGGAGUAAGAUUAGAGCUGUCGCCACAUUUAUAUUUGGAAGUUCUGUUCAAGUGAAGAAUUUUGAGGAGAUAUGUAAGGAUUUGAGCAAGAUUCGCCAGGUUUCUCAAGGAGGCAUCUUCUACACUGCCACUGGGUUUUACCUAAAUAAGACUUCAUAGGAAAUUUAGAUAUUCUUCUCAGAUGAAAUAUCUGUAGGGGUUUUGAGAGGAGCCAAGCAGAUUUUAAUAAGAUUAGCAAACUUCCUCUAGAGGAUUUCACAAAUCUCUGACACUAAGAAUAUCAGUGUCCAACAGAGGUAGUAGAUUUGACCACAAAGUACAAAAAUAAAAUGAUGAUGUUAGUUUAUGUGGUAGAUAAGCUGCCAAACCUAACAAAUGCAGAUUGUUGCUAGUUAGAAUGAGAAGGGGCUAAAUCCUAGAGCUGUAUUGCUGAUAGGCAAAGACCAUAGAAAUACAAUUAGCAUUGGUAGGCAGGCCUCUGUGUGAUGUCAUUUCCCCUUCUCUCCUGGAGAGGAAGGAGCAUAUGGUACUUCCUGUUCCUUUUUCUCUCUUUCUCUCUUCUAUUGUCCAACAUUGGAUGCAGACAUGCCUCUGCUUGCUCCAGUUCAGGCAGAUGCCUGAAACGGUUAUACAGGAAAUACAAGUAUUUUGCCUGCAUAGUUUUCAUUGCUGUCAUUGCUGUAAACCAAUGCAUGAUCAUAAAGGAAGUAAAUAUUAUUUUUAAAAUUAUAAGUUGUUGCCCAAUUCUUCGUUACCUGAUAAGAAAGAGGAGCCAGCUUACUUCAUAACUAGACUUGCUGAAAGCCAGGUUUUACUGCCUAAUUCCUAUGCUUUUAAUUUUUCUGCCAAGGAUGAGAUUUUGAAAUUCUGUUCAAACACAUGUGGGUGCCUGGAAGGAUAAAAUGCAAUUAAUAUAUCCUCUCCUACCCACUGAAACCCAUAUCACAACUUAAACAUUGAAAAAGAAGAAGAAUACAACCUUUGAAAGAUUAUCUGUUAAAUAAACAACGCCCAACAUUCAGCAUUAAUUUUAAAAAUGAAACAGUUAUUCCCCCCCCCCUUUUACCUACAGAGUCUUCUACAAACAUUGCUUCCUCCAGAUGCAGACUGAAACUAUAUCCUGAGGCUAUGUCCUGCCAGCGGUGGAAUACGGAAGAUUUAUUAUUUGUGGAUAUUGAUACAAAUUGACUUGAUCUGCAUCUUCUGGGUUAAUGUGUGGUGCUGGAAUGCAACUAAAUGAAUAAAUAAGCUG
rnacentral:lncRNA from 1 species